GGUGCUGUGGCUUAGUUGGUCAAAGUGCCUGUCAUUUAAACAGAAGAUCCUGGGUUCAAGUCCCAACAGUGCCU
rfam:Danio rerio chromosome 4, GRCz11 reference primary assembly.